rnacentral:lncRNA from 1 species
CGUUUUCAAGAUCUAUUGUUGAUAAUAUAUAAUAUCUUACAAGUUAUUUAAUUCUCUAAUGUAUGGGAAGCAGCGUAGCAUCGUCCUUGCUGUUGCUAUGGUAUUUAUUGCUGUUGAGCCUUCAGGAAACCUCUCUGCAUCUCGGUUUCCUCAUCUAUAAAAUGGAGAUGAUAACUGUACUUACAUCAUGGAGCUGCUAUGAGGAUCAAAGAAGUUAUCAACACUUCAGAAUAUGGCCAGCACAUAGGAACAAUAUAUCUAUUUGCUAAAUCGAAGGAUAAAAAGAAACCUACUUUGUAUGGAAAAGGAGAAAGAAAAGAGUAAGAUUGAACUAUGCUUUGCUGCAUGGUGGGUUUGAUGAAAGUGGAGUCACGCUGAUUGGUGCUCAAGAUAAAUGUCUUAGGGGAAGACUCAUACCCAGUGGAAUUUUUUUUAGUGAAAUAUCGUGGCUCAUGGACUGUGAGAUUUGUCAUUUGUUUUCAAUAAAAUGAUAAAAAUCAUAAUU